rnacentral:rRNA from 1 species
UACGUAGGGCGCAAGCGUUGUCCGGAAUUAUUGGGCGUAAAGAGCUCGUAGGCGGUCUGUCGCGUCUGCCGUGAAAACCCGAGGCUUAACCUCGGGCUGGCGGUGGAUACGGGCAGACUAGAGGUAGGUAGGGGAGAAUGGAAUUCCCGGUGUAGCGGUGAAAUGCGCAGAUAUCGGGAGGAACACCGGUGGCGAAGGCGGCGACCUGGUCCUAUACUGACACUCAUACACGAAAGCGUGGGGAUCAAACAGG